GGCUCCUUCAAUAGUUGGCAAAAACCUAUCUUAAUCUUAAGUUUUUCUAGGUAUUCCACUCCUCUCUCUUAUUCCAAAUUUUGUGUUUUUGGCCAUGUACGAAUUUUAGAGAAAUGAAGAGGUAAAAUGAGCUUACUCAUGGUUCCAAUUUUCAAUAUUCCUCUCUUAAUGCCACCACCUACUAAACUAUUUUUAUCACCCUAAAUUAAUUCUUACUAACCAUAUAUAGGUACUAACUUUUAAUUGUAUCUUUUAAGUCUAAUCUAUUUACCCAAUCUUCAACUAUUG
rnacentral:lncRNA from 1 species